rnacentral:rRNA from 1 species
UACGUAGGGCGCGAGCGUUGUCCGGAAUUAUUGGGCGUAAAGGGCUUGUAGGCGGCUGGUCGCGUCUGCCGUGAAAUCCUCUGGCUCAACUGGGGGCGUGCGGUGGGUACGGGCUGGCUUGAGUGCGGUAGGGGAGGCUGGAACUCCUGGUGUAGCGGUGGAAUGCGCAGAUAUCAGGAAGAACACCGGUGGCGAAGGCGGGUCUCUGGGCCGUUACUGACGCUGAGGAGCGAAAGCGUGGGGAGCGAACAGG